AGCGAACGCUGGCGGCAUGCCUAACACAUGCAAGUCGAACGAACCUUUCGGGGUUAGUGGCGGACGGGUGAGUAACCCGUGGGAACGUGCCUUUAGGUUCGGAAUAACUCAGGGAAACUUGUGCUAAUACCGAAUGUGCCCUUCGGGGGAAAGAUUUAUCGCCUUUAGAGCGGCCCGCGUCUGAUUAGCUAGUUGGUUGAGGUAAUGGCUCACCAAGGCGACGAUCAGUAGCUGGUCUGAGAGGAUGAUCAGCCACAUUGGGACUGAGACACGGCCCAAACUCCUACGGGAGGCAGCAGUGGGGAAUCUUGCACAAUGGGCGAAAGCCUGACGCAGCCAUGCCGCGUGAAUGAUGAAGGUCUUAGGAUUGUAAAAUUCUUUCACCGGGGACGAUAAUGACGGUACCCGGAGAAGAAGCCCCGGCUAACUUCGUG
rnacentral:rRNA from 1 species